UAAAACAAUGGUUAACAGGAACAGCCGGGGGCAUUCGUAUCGCUGCGCGAGAGGUGAAAUUCGUGGACCGUAGCGAGACGUCCUACAGCGAAGGCAUUUGCCAAGAGUGUUUUCAUUAAUCAAGAACGAAAGUCAGAGGUUCGAAGGCGAUUAGAUACCGCUCUAGUUCUGACCGUAAACGAUGCCAACUGUCGAUCCGCUUGUGGAUUUUAUUCAUGAGCGGGGAGAUUUCCGGAAACGAAAGUUUUUCGGUUUCGGGGGAAGUAUGGUUGCAAAGCUGAAACUUAAAGGAAUUGACGGAAGGGCACCACCAGGAGUGGAGCUUGCGGCUUAAUUUGACUCAACACGGGAAAUCUCACCCGGCCAGUACAUCGUAAGGAUUGACAGACUGACAGCUCUUUCAUGAUUCGGUGAAUGGUGGUGCAUGGCCGUUCUUAGUUCGUGGAUUGAUUUGUCUGGUUUAUUCCGAUAACGAACGAGACUUUAACUAUUAAAUAGUGCGCAUGUUGCUUCGGCUGCGUGUGAUCACUUCUUAAAGGAAUUUGUGGUUUUCAACCUCAAGAAAUUGAGCAAUAACAGGUCUGUGAUGCCCUUAGAUGUUCGGGGCCGCACGCGUGCUACAAUGGUGGUAACAGCGUGAUUGUCCUUUUCCGACAGGAAUUGGCAAACAGUUGAGAUAUUAUUAUGGCUGGAAUUGAGUGUUGAAAUUUUCUCUCAUGAACGAGGAAUUCCAAGUAAAUGUGAGUCAUUAACUUGCAUUGAUUACGUCCCUGCCCUUUGUACACACCGCCCGUCGCUGCCCGGGACUGAGUUACUUCGAGAAAACUAGGGAUCGCUGGAGUUCGAUGUUUCGGCAUUGUCUUUGGUGAGAACUAGUUUAAUCGCAGUGGCUUGAACCAGG
rnacentral:rRNA from 1 species